rnacentral:rRNA from 1 species
ACCUCGGAUCAGGUAGGGAUACCUUCUGAGA